GGGGGCGAUCGGUAUCGACGGGAUAUGAGAAAUGUCGAACCGCACGCGGAGGAUGACAGUCCCCUCCAAAAUCAUCUGUCAUACCUAUAAAUGCCGAUUACGGCUAUAUGGCUGCAGCUUAAGUCUCGCAGCCCGUUCCGGAUUAGAUGAGUCUAUGGUCUAAUCCAGGAGCGUCAUUUACAUAGGCUAGUCUCAAAUCUGCCUGCGAAUUUGAGAUGAAACCUUAGCGGGCUGGUCCUGCCCGGUUUUUGUCUCCGAUAAAGGGUUGGAUAAGAUUUCAAUCGGACGACUAAGCGUGUAGACGUUCUUCAUCACUCUGUUUCGGACGGGAGUUCGAUUCUCCCCGCCUCCAC
rnacentral:tmRNA from 1 species